GACGUAGGGCGCGAGCGUUGUCCGGAUUUAUUGGCGUAAAGAGCUUGUAGGCGGUUUGUCGCGUCUGCUGUGAAAUUUCGGGGCUCAACCCCGAACUUGCAGUGGUACGGGCAGACUAGAGUGUGGUAGGGGAGACUGGAAUUCCUGGUGUAGCGGUGAAAUGCGCAGAUAUCAGGAGGAACACCGAUGGCGAAGGCAGGUCUCUCGGCCACUACUGACGCUGAGAAGCGAAAGCAUGGGGAGCGAACAGG
rnacentral:rRNA from 1 species